UGUCAGCAUCACCACGUUAUAGCUCUGUCGUUGACUACCGACUAAAUGUCAAUGGAAUACGCUCCGCGCAGCUGGAUAGCUAAGCUACGCUGAACUGUAAGCAGAGUAAAGGGGGAAGUCAAGCAAUAUGAGCACCUCAAGGAACGCGGAAGUGUUAAAAACGAAGACCCUGUUCGACGAACGAGGCGUUACCGACAGCGCCGCUAAAGCGAACUGCCGUCGACUCUGCUUUUCACAACCAGUCAGGGGUUCUUCAAAAAACGAAAAACAGCCGGCCAUAGAGACUAACUGGAAGGGAUGCCCCAGAAUUGUUCCCAUAAUAUGAGGUGCACUCAUUGGCCGCGCGGGGUCGCCAAACAACAACCGCAGCAGCAGCAGCAACGAGAAGGUACUAUCGCGCUUGAAAAGUGCCGGCACUUGUGAAACCUUGUCGACGUCAUCGAUGAAGGCCAUCGUCAUUAUCAUCACCCUUGUCGUCGCCGUCAUAACCAACAUCAGCAUCAAGACCAUCAUCGCCGUCAUAAUACGUUGCAAGCAACAAAGGAGGCAGUAGAGACGAUGGCUGAUACCGCUGGCCACAGCCGAAACUGACGCGUGCUUCCUUCAAGUGCAGUAGCGCAAACAUUGUAUCUACAGGUACUUCAUCCGCAUGUUGUUUCAUCAAAGGUAGAUGACUUCACGUGCCAGGAUUGACUUUUCCCCUCUGUUGACAACGGUCCGUAUCACGAGUCCCUGAUGAAGCUGCAAUAAUAUGAUGCGAUAAAUUCAACGCUUACGCCUACCUGUCGAUGCCUAUAUGCGCCAUAUGAACGUUAUGGAAAUUCGAGGCACGCGCAGGAUUCGACCUUAGUUUUGAACCGGAAGUGUAAUUAAUAGUUUUUGGGAAUUCAAAAUUUAUCGUCUUAGAUCCGAGUUGA